GAAAAAAUAGCCUAAUUAUUAGUUUGUUCUCUAGACCCUAAUGCACUAAUAAGCAAUGUAUUCGGCACCUUUUGAGCUAUAUUACCAAGAUCUUUAAUAAAUAAAUACAACCCUGUAUCUUAGUUUACAGACAUGUUCCUAUAUAAAUUAUAUUCCACAACCAGAAGAUCAACCACUUCAGCUUGAAUUCCCCAAUCAGACAAGCGUUGACAGGAACAGACCAAUGCAGUGAUGGAGGUAUGUGAAUGUCACAUGUUUUCAGUAUAAUAUACACCCCCCUUCUAUUUCUAUCUUCACGCCUCCGUCAACUGUCAAUUCUGCUCCACCGCAAUCAAUCAGGUUUCCUAUAUUGGACAUGACUGUGAGGACAUCCCAGAGUACCUUGGAGAAAGAUAUGGACUCUUGACAAGACGGCUAGAUCUCAGCUUCAAUCAGCUAAGGUAGGAGAUGAGCUGAGAUGAGUCGUGAAUACUAUCAUGGACACAGUGUUGCCUUGAGUGGUAGUGGUGCCUUAAAUGGUGUAGUGGUGCUGUG
rnacentral:lncRNA from 1 species